rfam:Treponema azotonutricium ZAS-9, complete genome.
AGCGAUGGACCGGCUGCCGCGCCGCGCGAAGCUUUUGCUUCCGGGUGAGGAAAGUCCGGGCUCCGCAGGGCAUGAUGCCGGGUAACGCCCGGGCGCUUCGCUCCAAAGGGCGAAGCGACAGAGAGCGCAGCAGAAAAUAUACCGCGAACCCAUUGGGCCGCAAGGGUGAAAAGGCGGGGCAAGAGCCCACCGCCCAGGCAGCAAUGCCUGGGGCACUGCAAACCUCAUCAGGAGCAAAGCCAAGCAGCAGUUGGAGGGCCCCUUCAAGACUGCGGGUAGGCUGCAAAGAGGGAAUCCGCGAGGAUCCCCCAAGAUAGAUGACAGCCAAUCAUACAGAACCCGGCUUAUGGUUCAUCGCUUUUU